rnacentral:tRNA from 3 species
GCGAAUAUAGAUUAAUGGUAAAUCAUCUGCCUUCCAAGCAGAUAAUAUGGGUUCAAUUCCCAUUAUUCGCA